AUCAAUACCAUAUCUCCCUUCUAGCUUUUGCCUGGUUUCCCACUGAAGCUAAGCAGGGUUGAGCCUGGCCAGUACAUGUAUGGGAGACCUCUUAGGGAGAACUAAGGUUGUUGCUG
rnacentral:rRNA from 1 species